AUUUCUACUUGAAGAGUGCCUUCUUCAGGAGUUUCUAGCAAACCUUGAUUCUCAGAAUCAGAUUCUCAAGAACCCUCAUGGAUGAUUGCUGCUAAUCUCUUGAAUUCUUUGAAGAAGCCAGAGAAAAGAAUUCUGGUCUGUACUUGGGAAUGUGGAGCUAGGCCUAGCAAAUAUAUCUUUGGAAAAGAUGCCCUCCUUCUUUAUAACAAGUCCAACCGAAAAAAUGUGUGCAGUGUUUAUAUGCACAUUUAUGUGGGCAUAGAUUUUUUGUGUCUCUCUGUGGAACAAUGCUAGCUCAUGGCCGAAGAUGAGAGGAGAGGGUCUCAAGUGGAAAACUGCAGCAUCAGUUACAGGGGAUUUCAAUUAAAUAGGAGAAAAUAUUUUUAGUGUAUUUUAUUUAACAUAAAACAAGCCACAGCUGAUAGAAAAUACUUAAAAUAUGCUCUGUCAGACAGUCUGAUUGUUAAUGGAUGUGUAUGACUGUGGCACUUUGAGGGGUAUUUGAGAUUAUGUAUCUGACUGCUCUGAAACUGUUCUGCCUGAAGUACUGGACUUACUACUUUUAACGAUUAGUUUUCAGUUUAUUGCCACUCAACAAUUCCCCUGAUACACUUAAUAUCCUUUUCAGACAUAUAGAAUUAAUCGAAAAUUAAUGCCUCAAGAUAUUUUUAAAUGGCACCCAUUAUUGCAAUCUUAAAUCUUCAAUUUUAUAAAGACAAUAUAAUCCACAGUAAAUAGUGCUCAUGAUAAAUGCUUUAAAAUGAUAUAUCUACUUAAAAUAGUCUGUUAGAUGUUAUAUUUCUUUAAAUGUUACUAGUUCAAACUGUAUUUUCACCUUUAAGUACAGAGAAUAACUGUGAAUCCCUUAGUAUCUCUAUGGUUGGGCUGAUUUUUUUACAUAUGCAAUUGGGAAACAGCAAAUUAGGAACUUAGAUGACAGCC
ensembl:lncRNA